CUCUCUCUCUCUCUCUCUCUCUCUCUCUCUCCACCACAUCCCCAUUGGUUGGGUGGAUCUCUGGUGCUGCAACUCAAGGUCCCCGUCCCUGCCCUCUCCCUGGUUACUUGAGUUGGAGCCUAGGAGAAGCACGCAAGCUAACCUACUCAAUAGAGAUGAAUAGCCAAACCUCCCUCCCUUUACCGCCCCACCCUGUCCCUCUCCUUUACGGCCUCACCGUCUCGAUCUCUCCCCCUCCCGCAACCCCCUCUCACACUGCCCCACAUAGGGCAGCAACCCCACAUCCCACUGCUCUGUUUUCACCGCAUCCCCCUGCCCAGCUUAGAUUCGAUCGAGGUUUUUGGCGGAUAGUGGGCUCAGACAACCUUUUCCCAUUAUUGGUACUGUUUAUUUCGACCCGCAAAGUCUUUACAUUGAGGGGAGGAAUUAUAGGAAUGGUGCCAUCAACCCUAUCUUCGGGACUUCAGGAAUUAGACGAUGGGCUGCAAAGGAUCGAGUGAAAAACCUCCUCUUCAACCUUCUGAGCCAGCUUCUCUUCCUGCACAAUCUUGGGCUGUCCUUCCCUCUAAUCCCUCCACUACCUCUGCUUCCAAAAUUGCGUUUCAGACAGCUGAUAGAAGCAAACAAACCAACACGAUGUCGGAAAAUUCCAAUGUCAAAGUAGAAAGCCGAGGCAGUAUUGAGUUUCAGAAGGCUACUAAUCAAAGUGAGCAGAUAAACAACUUUUCUGGAUCUGCAGAGGUUCGAAUUAAGGGACAAUAAGCCAGUGGUGAUAUGUUGCAGAGGUAUCGUAUGAGUUCCAAACUGAUAAGAUGUAUGCUAUGUUCAGUUUUAGCAUCAUGAACAGCCAAUACUUUUCCAUUUUUGAUCUUAGUUGUAGUGUUUGUUUGUAUUUCUUGGCCAUCAAAAUCAUUUUUAGGUAUCAUUUCUUCCUGCCAAGAUAAACUUUUGUUUAGUUUGUUUACACAUAAAAAUGAUCCAGAAAGUAGAUCGAUCUGCUGUCAAA